UCACGUGACCAGAGUGUUCACGGAGAUGUCAUGUGAUCAAUGCCCUUUCUCUCUUCAUGUGACCGUGGUGAACUUGAACUUGCGGCUCGUGGUUUAGAUCAGUUAUGGGAAAUUCCGCCUCGCCUUUGAUGAUGCCACUACCGGUUUCUGGGCCUGAUGACACCACUUCUGGUUCCGGCCCCAAUGACGUGUCUUCCGGGCCCAGCCCUAAUGACAUCACUUCCGAUCCCGGCCCUGCUGACCUCACUUCCUAUGCCUCAUCAUAAAACCGCCAUUUUGUUCCAUCCACUCAGUUCUGUUUUGGACUUGAAUCUGUAAACAUCUCACAUAUAAUUGCCUUCUUUGCAGCUGGGUUUCAAGUAUACGGGCGGCUGCUCCAAACUUUU